rnacentral:rRNA from 1 species
UGGGGAAUCUUGGACAAUGGGGGCAACCCUGAUCCAGCCAUGCCGCGUGAGUGAUGAAGGCCUUAGGGUCGUAAAGCUCUUUCGCCUGUGAAGAUAAUGACGGUAGCAGGUAAAGAAGUCCCGGCUAACUCCGUGCCAGCAGCCGCGGUAAUACGGAGGGGACUAGCGUUGUUCGGAAUUACUGGGCGUAAAGAGUUCGUAGGCGGACUAGCAAGUUAGAGGUGAAAUCCCAGGGCUCAACCUUGGAACUGCCUUUAAAAGCUGCUAGUCUAGAGACCGGAAGAGGUUAGGGGAAUACCUAGUGUAGAGGUGAAAUUCGUAGAUAUUAGGUGGAACACCAGUGGCGAAGGCGCCUAACUGGUCCGGUACUGACGCUGAGGAACGAAA